rfam:Raoultella ornithinolytica strain S12, complete genome.
GUCUGUGCGUUUCCAUUUGAGUAUCCUGAAAACGGGCUUUUCAGCAUGGUGCGUACAUAUUAAAUAGUAGGAGUGCAUAGUGGCCCGUAUAGCAGGCAUUAACAUUCCUGAU